UACGUAGGGUGCGAGCGUUGUCCGGAAUUACUGGGCGUAAAGAGCUCGUAGGCGGUUUGUCGCGUCGUCCGUGAAAACUUGGGGCUCAACCCCAAGCUUGCGGGCGAUACGGGCAGACUUGAGUACUGCAGGGGAGACUGGAAUUCCUGGUGUAGCGGUGAAAUGCGCAGAUAUCAGGAGGAACACCGGUGGCGAAGGCGGGUCUCUGGGCAGUAACUGACGCUGAGGAGCGAAAGCGUGGGUAGCGAACAGG
rnacentral:rRNA from 2 species